rnacentral:rRNA from 1 species
UACGUAGGGCGCAAGCGUUGUCCGGAAUUAUUGGGCGUAAAGAGCUCGUAGGCGGUCUGUCGCGUCGGAUGUGAAAGCCCGGGGCUUAACCCCGGGUCUGCAUUCGAUACGGGCAGACUAGAGUGUGGUAGGGGAGAUCGGAAUUCCUGGUGUAGCGGUGAAAUGCGCAGAUAUCAGGAGGAACACCGGUGGCGAAGGCGGAUCUCUGGGCCUUACCUGACGCUGAGGCGCGAAAGCUAGGGGAGCGAACAGG